rnacentral:rRNA from 1 species
AUGAAUGCUGGCGGCGUGCCUAAUACAUGCAAGUCGAGCGGUAACAGGUCUAGUUUACUAGAUGCUGACGAGCGGCGGACGGCUGAGUAACGCGUGGGAACAUGCCCCAAAGUGAGGGAUAAGCAUCGGAAACGGUGUCUAAUACCGCAUAUGGUCUUCGGAUUAAAGGAUUUAUCCGCUUUGGGAGUGGCCCGCGUACGAUUAGGUAGUUGGUGAGGUAAUGGCUCACCAAGCCUACGAUCGUUAACUGGUCUGAGAGGAUGAUCAGUCAGACUGGAACUGAGACACGGUCCAGACUCCUACGGGAGGCAGCAGUAAGGAAUCUUCCACAAUGGGCGAAAGCCUGAUGGAGCAACGCCGCGUGCAGGAUGAAGGCCUUCGGGUCGUAAACUGCUUUUAUGAGUGAAGAAUAUGACGGUAACUCAUGAAUAAGCACCGGCUAACUACGU